rnacentral:rRNA from 1 species
UACAGAGGGGGCAAGCGUUGUUCGGAUUUACUGGGCGUAAAGGGCGCGUAGGCGGCGCGACAAGUCACUUGUGAAAUCUCCGGGCUUAACUCGGAACGGUCAGCCGAUACUGCGGGGCUAGAGUGCAGAAGGGGCAACUGGAAUUCUCGGUGUAGCGGUGAAAUGCGUAGAUAUCGAGAGGAACACCUGCGGCGAAGGCGGGUUGCUGGGCUGACACUGACGCUGAGGCACGAAAGCGUGGGGAGCGAACAGG